AAAUCGAAUUCCAGCCUUUGGCUCUUCAAAGAAUUAAUUGAACGGAGGCCUUAGAGGGUGAAUCUCGACGACCAGGACCCACGGUUAGAAACCUUGAGAAGUCAGCCUUCCAUAGGUGCAGCGUGCAUACAAGGUGUUUGAUAAAAUACUGGAACCAGACUCCAACUUUGGAGUGCAAAAACAUUUUUUCAAUUGGAGCUUAAACUGUGAUGAAUUGACGAUGGAUCAAGCAUCGGCUAUUAAGUAAUUGUUCUCGGUGGUAUUCAU